CAGCGCCACGAGUGGCAAUCGUGUAUUUGGCCUAAAGCGUCCGUAGCCGGAUUUGUAAAUCUUUUGUGAAAUCGUUGAGCUCAACUUAACGGCGUGCAGAAGACACUGCGAGUCUUGAGACCGGGAGGAGAUAGAGGUAUUCUAGGGGGAGCGGUAAAAUGCUAUAAUCCCUGGAGGACCACCAGUGGCGAAGGCGUCUAUCCAGAACGGAUCUGACGGUGAGGGACGAAAGCCAGGGGAGCGAACCGGAUUAGAUACCCGCGUAGUCC
rnacentral:rRNA from 1 species